rnacentral:miRNA from 1 species
GGAAUGGGAGGUGUUGG